GAUGAACGCUGGCGGCGUGCCUAAUACAUGCAAGUCGAGCGAACAGACGAGGAGCUUGCUCCUCUGACGUUAGCGGCGGACGGGUGAGUAACACGUGGAUAACCUACCUAUAUGACUGGGAUAACUUCGGGAAACCGCAGCUAAUACCGGAUAAUAUAUUCAACCGCAUGGUUCAAUAGUGAAAGACGGUUUUGCUGUCACUUAUAGAUGGAUCCGCGCCGCAUUAGCUAGUUGGUAAGGUAACGGCUUACCAAGGCAACGAUGCGUAGCCGACCUGAGAGGGUGAUCGGCCACACUGGAACUGAGACACGGUCCAGACUCCUACGGGAGGCAGCAGUAGGGAAUCUUCCGCAAUGGGCGAAAGCCUGACGGAGCAACGCCGCGUGAGUGAUGAAGGUCUUCGGAUCGUAAAACUCUGUUAUUAGGGAAGAACAAAUGUGUAAGUAACUAUGCACGUCUUGACGGUACCUAAUCAGAAAGCCACGGCUAACUACGUG
rnacentral:rRNA from 1 species